rnacentral:rRNA from 1 species
GGAUCAUUACCGAGUUUACAACUCCCAAACCCCUGUGAACAUACCUAUACGUUGCCUCGGCGGAUCAGCCCGCGCCCCGUAAAACGGGACGGCCCGCCCGAGGACCCUAAACUCUGUUUUUAGUGGAACUUCUGAGUAAAACAAACAAAUAAAUCAAAACUUUCAACAACGGAUCUCUUGGUUCUGGCAUCGAUGAAGAACGCAGCAAAAUGCGAUAAGUAAUGUGAAUUGCAGAAUUCAGUGAAUCAUCGAAUCUUUGAACGCACAUUGCGCCCGCCAGUAUUCUGGCGGGCAUGCCUGUUCGAGCGUCAUUUCAACCCUCAAGCUCAGCUUGGUGUUGGGACUCGCGGUAACCCGCGUUCCCCAAAUCGAUUGGCGGUCACGUCGAGCUUCCAUAGCGUAGUAAUAAUACACCUCGUUACUGGUAAUCGUCGCGGCCACGCCGUAAAACCCCAACUUCUGAAUGUUGACCUCGGAUCA